rnacentral:rRNA from 1 species
AGCUCCAAUAGCGUAUAUUAAAGUUGUUGCAGUUAAAAAGCUCGUAGUUGGACCUUGGUCCGGGGCAGCCGGUCCGCCCGCUCUGUCGGGUGUGCACUGCGCGCUGGCCCCGGUCUUUUUCGCGAGGAGCGGUCCUGGCAUUAAGUUGUCGGGGUCGUGAGGCGCGUCUUUUACUGUGAGCAAAAUAGAGUGUUCAAAGCAGGCUUAGGCCUUGAAUACAUUAGCAUGGAAUAAUGAGAUACGACCUUGGUCCUAGUUCGUUGGUUUGCGUUCCGAGGUAAUGAUUAAUAGGGACAGUUGGGGGUAUUCGUAUUCCAUUGUCAGAGGUGAAAUUCUUGGAUUUAUGGAAGACGGACGAAUGCGAAAGCAUUUACCAAGGAUGUUUUCA